rnacentral:rRNA from 1 species
GACGAGUUUGAUCCUGGCUCAGAGCGAACGGUGGCGGCGUGGAUUAGGCAUGCAAGUCGGACGCGAACGGAGAGCUUGCUCUCUUAUUAGAGUGGCGAACGGGUGAGUAACGUAUGGAUGACCUACCUCGGACUCUGGGACAACCGCUGGAAACGGCGGCUAAUACCGGAUGGUCCUGGCGAUUCAUUUUGCUAGGUAAAGAUACUUGUAUCGGUCUGUGAGGGGUCCAUAUCCCAUCAGCUAGUUGGCGGGGUGAUAGCCCACCAAGGCAACGACGGGUAGCCGGACUGAGAGGUCGACCGGCCACAUCGGGACUGAGACACUGCCCGGACUCCUACGGGAGGCUGCAGUCGAGAAUCUUCCGCAAUGGGCGCAAGCCUGACGGAGCGACGCCGCGUGAAGGAUGACGGCCUUCGGGUUGUAAACUUCUGUCACCCGAGAAGAACGUCCAAGGUGACCCCUGGGACUGACGUUAUCGGGAGAGGAAGCCACGGCUAACUUCGUG